GAUGAACGCUGGCGGCGCGCCUAACACAUGCAAGUCGAACGAUUAAAGCACCUUCGGGUGUGUAUAAAGUGGCGAACGGCUGAGUAACACGUGGGCAACCUGCCCCUCUCAUUGGGAUAGCCACGGGAAACCGUGGAUAAUACCGAAUACUUCGGGACUUCCGUAUGGAAGACUCGAGAAAGCUCCGGCGGAGAGGGAUGGGCCCGCGGCCUGUUAGCUUGUUGGUGGGGUAAUGGCCUACCAAGGCAAUGAUGGGUAGCUGGGUUGAGAGACCGACCAGCCAGAUUGGGACUGAGACACGGCCCAGACUCCUACGGGAGGCAGCAGUGGGGAAUCUUGCACAAUGGGCGAAAGCCUGAUGCAGCGACGCCGCGUGCGGGAUGAAGGCCUUCGGGUUGUAAACCGCUUUCAGCAGGGACGAGGCGAAAGUGACGGUACCUGCAGAAGAAGCCCCGGCUAACUACGUG
rnacentral:rRNA from 1 species